rnacentral:lncRNA from 1 species
AUGAGGGGUGUGGUUCAAAUUCGAGACGUUAUAAUUUGGUGUCCAAAAUAAACAGUGCUAGCCUGUCCACCAUUGGCUUGGUCUUGUGCCAAGGGGACAUGUUAGGUCUUACUAUGUGUGCUAAACUAAGUUCAACCAGCAAACUACAAUGUUAGAUCAGCGGACGAGUGGACCGGAAGCCUCACUGUAAUUGGCUGAUCUGGUUCCAGUAACUAUUAUAUUAUGUGGUGGCAAGCAGAUGCUUUCACACGUAUAUUGUUAGCCCCUGGCAACUAAGUUCAACCAGCAAACUACAAUGUUAGAUCAGUGAAUGAGUGGACCGGAAGCCUCACUGUAAUUGGCUGAUCUGGUUUCAGUAACUAUUAUAUUAUGUGGUGGCAAGCAGAUGCUUUCACAUGUAUAUUGUUAGCCCCUGGCAACAUAAAGU